rnacentral:rRNA from 1 species
UGGGGAAUAUUGCACAAUGGUCGGAAGUUUGAUGCAGCGACGCCGCGUGGAGGGUGUAGGCCUUCGUGUUGUUAACUCCUUUUUCUCGCGAAAAAGGCACCGUUUUGGCUGUGUCGACGGUACCGGGGGAAGAAGCGCCGGCUAACUACGUGCCAGCACCCGCGGUAAUACGUAGGUCGCGAGCGUUGUCCGGAUUUAUUGGGCGUCAAGAGCUCGUAGGUGGUUCGUCGCGUCUGUCAUGAAAGCCAGCAGCUUCACUGUUGGUCUGCGGUGGGUACGGGCGGGCUUGAGUGCGGUAGAGGAAACUGGCAUUCCUGGUGUAGCGGUGGAAUGCGCAGAUAUCAGGAGGAACACCGAUGGCGAAGGCAGGUCACUGGGCCGUUAAUGACACUGAAGAGCGAAGGCGUGGGGAGCGAACAGG